AGAGUUUGAUCCUGGCUCAGGAUGAACGCUGGCGGUCUGCUUAACACAUGCAAGUCGAACGGAGUGCUUCGGCACUUAGUGGCGGACGGGUGAGUAACGCGUGAGAAUCUGCCCUUAGGACGGGGACAACGACUGGAAACGGUCGCUAAUACCCGAUAUGCCGAGAGGUGAAAUGAUUUAUUGCCUGAGGAUGAGCUCGCGUCUGAUUAGCUAGUUGGUGGGGUAAUGGCCUACCAAGGCUGCGAUCAGUAGCUGGUCUGAGAGGAUGAUCAGCCACACUGGGACUGAGACACGGCCCAGACUCCUACGGGAGGCAGCAGUGGGGAAUUUUCCGCAAUGGGCGCAAGCCUGACGGAGCAAGACCGCGUGCGGGACGACGGCCUGUGGGUUGUAAACCGCUUUUGACAGGGAAGAAUCCAUGACGGUACCUGUCGAAUCAGCCUCGGCUAACUCCGUGCCAGCAGCCGCGGUAAUACGGAGGAGGCAAGCGUUAUCCGGAAUUAUUGGGCGUAAAGCGUCCGCAGGGUGGUUGGUCAAGUCAGCUGUUAAAGCGUGGGGCUUAACUCCAUAAGGGCAGUUGAAACUGACUAGCUAGAGUGCGAUAGGGGCAAGGGGAAUUCCCAGUGUAGCGGUGAAAUGCGUAGAUAUUGGGAAGAACACCGGUGGCGAAAGCGCCUUGCUGGGUCUGCACUGACACUGAGGGACGAAAGCUAGGGGAGCGAAAGGGAUUAGAUACCCCUGUAGUCCUAGCUGUAAACGAUGGGUACUAGGCGUUGUCCGUAUCGACCCGGGCAGUGCCGUAGCUAACGCGUUAAGUAUCCCGCCUGGGGAGUACGCACGCAAGUGUGAAACUCAAAGGAAUUGACGGGGACCCGCACAAGCGGUGGAGUAUGUGGUUUAAUUCGAUGCAACGCGAAGAACCUUACCAGGGUUUGACAUGUCCGGAACCCUCUUGAAAGAGAGGGGUGCCUUCGGGAACCGGAACACAGGUGGUGCAUGGCUGUCGUCAGCUCGUGUCGUGAGAUGUUGGGUUAAGUCCCGCAACGAGCGCAACCCUCGUUCUUAGUUGCCAGCAUUUAGUUGGGCACUCUAGGGAGACUGCCGGUGACAAACCGGAGGAAGGUGGGGAUGACGUCAAGUCAGCAUGCCCCUUACGCUCUGGGCUACACACGUACUACAAUGCUUCGGACAAAGGGCUGCCAACUCGCGAGAGUGCGCUAAUCCCAUAAACCGAGGCUCAGUUCAGAUUGCAGGCUGCAACUCGCCUGCAUGAAGGCGGAAUCGCUAGUAAUCGCAGGUCAGCAUACUGCGGUGAAUACGUUCCCGGGUCUUGUACACACCGCCCGUCACACCAUGGGAGUUGGCCACGCCCGAAGUCGUUAUCCCAACCCUAUAUGGAGGGAGACGCCGAAGGCAGGGCUGAUGACUGGGGUGAAGUCGUAACAAGGUAGCCGUACCGGAAGGUGUGGCUGGAUCACCUCCUUUUUAGGGAGACCUACCCCACCUCUGAUUGCUGAACGCACAGUGUCAUUAAGCAAAGAGUUGGUCAUCCCAAGGUCGUUCGGGAAUGAGUAAAUGGCUUUCAAACUAUGAGGUUCGGGAAAUGGGCUAUUAGCUCAGGUGGUUAGAGCGCACCCCUGAUAAGGGUGAGGUCCCUGGUUCGAGUCCAGGAUGGCCCACCUCAAUAAAAGGAAGGGGGAAGAUGAGUAUAGGAAAGUGUUUUUCUGGUAAUUUAUCUUCGCCUGUUCAGAUAAGGGGGUUUAGCUCAGUUGGUAGAGCGCCUGCUUUGCAAGCAGGAUGUCAGCAGUUCGAGUCUGCUAACCUCCACUGAAAGUUUUUAUUGAAUGCUUGAAGACGAAAUUUGUUUCAUUGAUUUCAGCAACUAAUUUAGGAAAGGCUAAAUAGACUGCUGGGAUUAGAGCCAGCGAGAACCUAGAAAACUGCAUAGCAAGAAACUUGUCAGGUAGAACAUCAAGGCUUGCCUUGAUGAGAACAGACACCAAUGAAAUUUUGUGGUCAAGCUACAAAGAGCUAACGGUGGAUACCUAGGCACACAGAGGCGAAG
rnacentral:rRNA from 1 species